UUUGGCAAUCUGCCAGUCCAACUCUUCCUCCUCUGUUGGCUCCGCCCUCCUAGCAGGACAUCAGGUGGAUCUCAUCACUGAUCAGCAGUGUGUGCUUCCACUCUGAUUGUAUAAAAGAGCUAGAGAAGAUCUCUUCUGUAAGCAAAAAACUCUGAACCUGUGUGGAAAAAGGAUGCUUAUGGAAAACUGAAGAGGCAGCCGGUUUUUCACCUGAAGAAUUUCAAAUGAAGCUGAAGAGAUUUUCAAAUGAAGCUGAAAAGAAUUUCAAGAGAAACUGAAGAAUUUCAAAUGAAGCUGAAAAGAUUUUCAAGUGGAGCAGAAAAGGUUUCCAAGAGAAACUGAAAAGAUUUUCAAGUGAAGCAGAAAAGGUUUUCAACAGAGGCUGAAGGGAUUUUCACCUGAAGGAAGCUAAAGUGAAGCUGAGCUAAAGCAAAGGUGAAAGAAACCUGAAGGAACCUUAAAACUGGAGCUGAAGAAAACUGAAGCUAAAGUUAAAACUAAAGGAAAGCUGGAGUGAAGGCUGAAGAAAAGCCAAAGGAAAGUAAAAGGAAAACCAGAAGAAAAACAAAGGGAAAUCUUAAAGCCAAGAUCAAAGUUAAAGCAAAAUCAAGCACAAAGAAGAAAGAAAAGAAA